CCCUUCUACAAAGGCAUUUUUAUGGGUUCCUGUCUUUGGAUACCUAGGAAUCAAAAUGAAAGAAAUGUGGAAACUGGAGAAAUUUAGGGCUAGGGCUAACUUGCUCUGUGCUGCCUGAAGACCAAUAAUCCCACAUUG